GGGUUGUGAGGUUAAGCGACUAAGCGUACACGGUGGAUGCCCUGGCAGUCAGAGGCGAUGAAGGACGUGCUAAUCUGCGAAAAGCGUCGGUAAGGUGAUAUGAACCGUUAUAACCGGCGAUGUCCGAAUGGGGAAACCCAGUGUGAUUCGUCACACUAUCGUUAACUGAAUACAUAGGUUAACGAGGCGAACCGGGGGAACUGAAACAUCUAAGUACCCCGAGGAAAAGAAAUCAACCGAGAUUCCCCAGUAGCGGCGAGCGAACGGGGAGCAGCCCAGAGUCUGAAUCAGCUUGUGUGUUAGUGGAACGGUCUGGAAAGUCCGACGGUACAGGGUGAUAGUCCCGUACACCAAAAUGCACAGGUUGUGAACUCGAAGAGUAGGGCGGGACACGUGGUAUCCUGUCUGAAUAUGGGGGGACCAUCCUCCAAGGCUAAAUACUCCUGACUGACCGAUAGUGAACCAGUACCGUGAGGGAAAGGCGAAAAGAACCCCGGCGAGGGGAGUGAAAA
rnacentral:rRNA from 1 species